GAAAGCAAAGAAGGGCAUAUGGAGGAUGCCUAGGCUCUCGAAGGCGAAGAAGGACGUGAUAAGCUGCGAAAAGCUCCGGGGAGUGGCAAAUACACCGAGAUCCGGAGAUAUCCGAAUGGGGCAACCCGUCGAGGCUCGACCUCGACACACGCGAACGCGUGGGCGAACGUGGGGAACUGAAACAUCUAAGUACCCAUAGGAAGAGAAAAUAACAAUGAUUCCGCAAGUAGUGGCGAGCGAACGCGGAAGAGCCCAAACCGCAGGCGUAGCAAUGCGCCGUGCGGGGUUAUAGGACCGGCGCCACGAAGAACUGAAAGCUAGCCGAACCGACUGGAAAGUCGGGCCGCAGCGGGUGACAGCCCCGUAGGCGAAAGCGUUCAGCGAUUCCAGCCGGCACCUGAGUAACCCGGAGCACGAGGAAUUCCGGGCGAAUUGGCGGGGACCAUCCCGUAAGGCUAAAUACUAACGAGAGACCGAUAGCGAACCAGUACCGUGAGGGAAAGGUGAAAAGAACCUCGAACAGAGGAGUGCAACAGACCCUGAAACCAUAUGCCUACAAGCGGUCGGAGCGGCUUAGUGCCGUGACGGCGUGCCUUUUGCAUAAUGAACCUACGAGUCACCGUCGUUGGCAAGGUUAAGGACAAUGAUGUCCGGAGCCGAAGCGAAAGCGAGUCCGAAUAGGGCGUUGGAGUCAGCGGAGGUGGACGCGAAACCAAGUGAUCUACCCUUGGGCAGGUUGAAGGACAGGUAAAACUGUCUGGAGGACCGAACCGGUAAGCGUUGAAAAGCUUUCGGAUGACCUGAGGGUAGGAGUGAAAGGCCAAUCAAACUUGGAGAUAGCUCGUACUCCCCGAAAUGUAUUUAGGUGCAGCCUCGGAGAGAAUCUGACGGAGGUAGAGCGACUGAUAGGAUGCGAGGGCUUCACCGCCUAUCAAGUCCUGACAAACUCCGAAUGCCGUCAGACAUAUCCGGGAGUAAGGGCGCGGGUGCUAAGGUCCGCGUCCGAGAGAGGAACAACUCAGACCAUCGGCUAAGGUCCCGAAAUCCGGGCUAAGUUGAAGACAAUAACGAGGUGGGAUUGCAUAGACAGCUAGGAUGUUGGCUUGGAAGCAGCCAUUCAUUUAAAGAGUGCGUAACAGCUCACUAGUCGAGUGAUCCCGCGUGGAUAAUAAUCGGGCAUAAGUCCGGUACCGAAGCCAUGGAAUCACGCUUAGGGCGUGAUUGGUAGGGGAGCAUUCCGUACAGCGGCGAAGGUCGGUGGCGAUGCCGGCUGGAGCGUACGGAAAAGCAAAUGUAGGUAUAAGUAACGAUAAUGGAGGCGAGAAACCUCCACGCCGAAAGACCAAGGUUUCCUGAUCAACGCUAAUCGGAUCAGGGUAAGUCGGGACCUAAGGGGCAGCCGCGAGGCGGACCCGAUGGAAGAAACGGUAAAGAUUCCGUUACUGUCGCCGGGAGUGAAGCGGGGACGGAGGAGUGACACCGCCGCGGACUGACGGAAUAGUCCGUUGAAGAGUGUAGGUAUUCGGAGGCCAGGCAAAUCCGGUCUCCGAGCUGAACUUGACAGUACUGCGAGCCUUCGGGCAAGCAGACAGCGCGGGUAAUCAGACUCCCAAGAAAAUCCGCUAAACAUAUGUCGGCGACACCCGUACCGAAACGGACACACGUGGUCGGGUAGAACAUACUAAGGCGCUCGAGAGAUUCACCGUUAAGGAACUAGGCAAAUUGACCUCGUAACUUCGGGAUAAGGGGUCCCACAGCGAUGUGGGCGCAGAGAAUAGGUCCAGGCAACUGUUUAACAAAAACACAGGGCUGUGCGAAAUUUAAAGAUGAAGUAUACAGCCUGACACCUGCCCGGUGCCGGAAGGUUAAGAGGAGAAGUCAUCGCAAGAGAAGCUUUGAAUUGAAGCCCCGGUAAACGGCGGCCGUAACUAUAACGGUCCUAAGGUAGCGAAAUUCCUUGUCGGGUAAGUUCCGACCUGCACGAAUGGUGUAAUGAUCUGGACACUGUCUCAACCGUGAGCUCGGUGAAAUUGUAGUAUCGGUGAAGAUGCCGAUUACCCGCAACGGGACGAAAAGACCCCGUGAACCUUUACUGCAGCUUAGCAUUGGGACCGGGUGCGUGAUGUGUAGGAUAGUCCGGAGACAGCGAUGCGGGGGCGCCAGCCCUCGCGGAGUCGACGUUGAAAUACGGACCUUUGCGCAUCUGGUCUCUAACUCGCGGAAAGCGAGGACACUGCUUGGUGGGUAGUUUGACUGGGGUGGUCGCCUCCAAAAGAGUAACGGAGGCUUCUAA
rnacentral:rRNA from 1 species